rnacentral:rRNA from 1 species
GAUGAACGCUAGCGGCGGGCCUAAUACAUGCAAGUUGAACGAGAUUGUUGGUAGCAAUACUGACAUGAAAGUGGCGCACGGGUGCGUAACACGUAUGUAACCUACCUUUAACUGGGGCAUAGCUUCGAGAAAUCGAAAUUAAUACCCCAUAACAUUUAGAAAAGGCAUCUUUUCUUUAUCAAAGUUCCGGCGGUUAAAGAUGGACAUGCGGUGCAUUAGCUUGUUGGUGAGGUAACGGCUCACCAAGGCUACGAUGCAUAGGGGGUCUGAGAGGAUGAUCCCCANACUGGUACUGAGACACGGACCAGACUCCUACGGGAGCAGCAGUAGGGAAUAUUGGGCAAUGGACGAAAGUCUGACCCAGCCACGCCGCGUGAAGGAUGACUGCCCUAUGGGUUGUAAACUUCUUUUGUAUGGGAAGAAAAUUCCGAACGUGUUCGGAGCUGACGGUACCAUAAGAAUAAGCAAUCGGCUAACUCCGUGCCAGCAGCCG